rnacentral:rRNA from 1 species
AGAGUUUGAUCAUGGCUCAGAGCGAACGUUAGCGGCACGCCUAACACAUGCAAGUCGCACGAGAGUGGAGCAAUCCAUGAAAGUGGCGCACGGGUGCGUAACACGUAGAUAAUCUGCCCUUUGGCGGGGGAUAACGUUCCGAAAGGAGCGCUAAUACCGCAUACAGCAGUCUCCGGUUCGCCGGAGAUUGGCAAAGGCUGGGCCCAGCAAUGGCCAGUCGCCGAAGGAGGAGUCUGCGGCCCAUCAGCUAGUUGGUAAGGUAACGGCUUACCAAGGCAGAGACGGGUAGCUGGUCUGAGAGGAUGAUCAGCCACACUGGUACUGGAACACGGACCAGACUCCUACGGGAGGCAGCAGUGGGGAAUCUUGGUCAAUGGGCGCAAGCCUGAACCAGCGAUGCCGCGUGACGGAUGAAGGCCUUCUGGGUUGUAAACGUCUUUUGACCGGGAAGAAAAAGCCCUUGCGAGGGAAAUCGACGGUACCGGUUGAAUAAGCACCGGCUAACUCCGUGCCAGCAGCCGCGGUAA